UUAUGCCAAAAGAAAUCAGAAUUCUGAAAUAUCUACUCACAAUUGAGGAUCCUGAGGAGCGACUGUGCACUUUGAAAGACGCCUUCACACCGGGGGAAGAACUUGAAGGGAAAGAUGUAGAUUGCUUAUACACGACCCCAGAGCAGCUAUACAACUGGAUUGGGACAGUGGUGGAUGCAUAUCAUUUCAGUAGAGAAGGCACACUUAUAAAAGAAGCCAGAGACUUGAUGAACCCUAAAAUAAUUCAGAAAAUGGAGGAAUUAAAGAAGUUGAUCCUAGAUAACUUCAUGUGAGCAUUUGUUUGCUUUUAAAUAGCUACGAGACUGCUGCCAGUGCCAGAUUCAUCAGCGUGCCCAUCAACAUCCGUAAGCAUAUGUCCCAGCUCCAGAUGCAGUGACCACAUGAUUGCAUCGCAGAAUUGAACAUAAAGCUGAUAGGUUCAAUCUCAAUACUUCGAUGAACUGUCCUUAUCUCGGGGUUGUCUAUAGUCCUGAAUGUUUAAAUAUCCUAGACUUUAGUUCAGACGCACUUGGAUGUUGCUGAAAGAGGCACGAGCUAUCGUUGGUUGUAUAGAACAUUGAAUUUUGUGUAUGAUAGGCUUCUGUAUUCUGGGACAGUGACUUGAUGGCCUUUCUCUUACGGAACAACUUGUUUCCUGUUGAAGCUCAAUUACAUCUUUAGGAUAAUUUUAUACACAAAUGUAUCGUUUAUGAUGAAGUUCAUUACUAUCAUCAACGAAUUUAUAUGGUGUUUAAAGUUAUAUGAAUUUGUCCGAGAGUUUAUUCGUUCA